rnacentral:rRNA from 1 species
AGCAGCCGCAGUAAUUUCAGCUCCAAUAGCGUAUAUUAAAGUUGUUGCAGUUAAAAGCUCGUAGUUGAAUUUCGGGGUCAGUAGGUUGGUCAUGCCACUGGUAUGUACUGAUCUUACUGAUUCCUCCUUCCUGAUGAAUCGUAAUGCCAUUAAUUUGGUGUUGCGGGGAGACUGGACUGUUACUUUGAAAAAAUUAGAGUGUUAAAGCAGGCUAACGCUUGAAUACAUUAGCAUGGAAUAAUGAAAUAGGACGUUCGAUCCUAUUUUGUUGGUUUCUAGGAUAGACGUAAUGAUUAAUAGGGAUAGUUGGGGGCAUUAGUAUUCAAUUGUCAGAGGUGAAAUUCUUGGAUUUUAUUGAAGACUAACUACUGCGAAAAGCAUUUGCCAAGGAUGUUUUCAUUAAUCAAGAACGAAAGUUAGGGGGAUCGAAGACGAUCAGAUACCGUCGUAGUCUUAACCAUAAAACUAUGCCGACUA